rnacentral:rRNA from 1 species
AGAGUUUGAUCAUGGCUCAGAUUGAACGCUGGCGGAAUGCUUUACACAUGCAAGUCGAACGAUGAACCUUAGCUUGCUAAGGGGAUUAGUGGCGAACGGGUGAGUAAUAUAUCGGAACGUGCCUUGUAAUGGGGGAUAACUAGUCGAAAGAUUAGCUAAUACCGCAUACGCCCUGAGGGGGAAAGUAGGGGAUCUUCGGACCUUACGUUAUAAGAGCGGCCGAUAUCUGAUUAGCUAGUUGGUGGGGUAAUGGCCUACCAAGGCUUCGAUCAGUAGCUGGUCUGAGAGGACGACCAGCCACACUGGAACUGAGACACGGUCCAGACUCCUACGGGAGGCAGCAGUGGGGAAUUUUGGACAAUGGGCGCAAGCCUGAUCCAGCCAUUCCGCGUGAGUGAAGAAGGCCUUCGGGUUGUAAAGCUCUUUCGCAAGGGAAGAAAACUUACAUUCUAAUAAAGUGUGAGGCUGACGGUACCUUGAUAAGAAGCACCGGCUAACUACGUGCCAGCAGCCGCGGUAAUACGUAGGGUGCGAGCGUUAAUCGGAAUUACUGGGCGUAAAGCGUGCGCAGGCGGUUUGGCAAGUCAGAUGUGAAAUCCCCGAGCUCAACUUGGGAACUGCGUUUGAAACUGCCAGACUAGAAUAUGUCAGAGGGGGGUAGAAUUCCACGUGUAGCAGUGAAAUGCGUAGAGAUGUGGAGGAAUACCAAUGGCGAAGGCAGCCCCCUGGGAUAAUAUUGACGCUCAUGCACGAAAGCGUGGGGAGCAAACAGGAUUAGAUACCCUGGUAGUCCACGCCCUAAACGAUGUCUACUAGUUGUUGGUGGAGUAAAAUCCAUGAGUAACGCAGCUAACGCGUGAAGUAGACCGCCUGGGGAGUACGGUCGCAAGAUUAAAACUCAAAGGAAUUGACGGGGGCCCGCACAAGCGGGUGGAUUAUGUGGAUUAAUUCGAUGCACCGCGAAAACCUUACCUGGGCUUGACAUGCCACUAACGAAGCAGAGAUGCAUUAGUGGCCGUAAGGAAAAGGAAAACAGGGCUCAUGGGUUGUCUUCACCCCUGGCUGGGAAUGUUGGGUAAAUCCCCAAAAGAGGAAACA